AUUGGUCACUGAAAGAACUCAAAGAAGUCCUGUGUGGCUGGAGUAUAGCUGCGGGUUAGUGCUGGCAGGUGAAGACAGAGAAGCAAACCCAGGUCAGGUCCGGUUGGGCCUCGGGAGGGCCUCCGUGUGGAGUCUGCACUUCAUUCUAAGUGUAUACCUAACCCAUCGCCACGAUUUCCCCUCCUUCACACUACCCUGCUACGUCUCCUUAUUAGGCGUAAUAAAAUUAUGUGGCUUUGUAAGAAAUUGGUUUUUAGAGAUGCAUGUUAAAGUAUUGGGUAUGAAAUGUCAUGAUUUGUCUAAUUUACUUUAAAAUACUUCUGCCAUAAUAAAUGAAUAGAAUUAACAACUUGAUAUUAGUUGACAAUAUCUAAUAAUAUCUAAGUUAUUAGAAAUUAGUUAACAGUAACUUCUUUUUUUGAGACAGGGUCUCACUGUGUCACCCAGGCUGGAGUGCGGUGGUGAAAUCUCGGCUC
rnacentral:lncRNA from 1 species